UACGUAGGUGGCGAGCGUUGUCCGGAUUUACUGGGCGUAAAGAGCGCGCAGGCGGCUGGGUAAGUCCGCUGUGAAAGCUUCCGGCUUAACUGGAAAAUUGCAUUGGAAACUGCUCGGCUUGAAGGUGGGAGAGGGUAGCGGAAUUCCCGGUGUAGUGGUGAAAUGCGUAGAUAUCGGGAGGAACACCAGUGGCGAAGGCGGCUACCUGGCCCGGUCUUGACGCUGAGGCGCGAAAGCUAGGGGAGCAAACGGG
rnacentral:rRNA from 1 species